CUCAUUUGCACGUUCAAGAGCUUGCACGAUAAGCCAAGAACACUUGAAAUCUUCAAUGUCAGUCCCAAUCUUUCCGAUCACUUCAGGGUCACCAAAGCAGUCUAAGUAAUCAUCCUGUACUUGGAAGUACGUUCCCAUUUCGAUAAGAAUAUCUUUUACAGCAACAAACUUGGACAAGUUUUCACCAGACAUCAGCAAUGCACAUGCAACUGGAAGGUAAAAGGAAUAGUAAGCAGUUUUGUACUGAACAAUGCGCCGGUACACUGGCAUUUUAUACUUCGACAGAUCUUUUUCUCCUUCAUGAGUAGUGAUCAAAUCAAGCAUCUGCCCCGAAGCAGUCUGAAAUUCCACCUCAUUGAAUAAAUCCAAGAGAUCUACAUAGUAGGACUUUUCCCUGAAAUGUCGUUUCAGAAUCCGAGGAAUGUGAUUACGGAG
rnacentral:misc_RNA from 1 species